UCUGAGACAGGUGCUGCAUGGCUGUCGUCAGCUCGUGUUGUGAAAUGUUGGGUUAAGUCCCGCAACGAGCGCAACCCUUAUCCUUUGUUGCCAGCGGCUCGGCCGGGAACUCAAAGGAGACUGCCGGUGAUAAACCGGAGGAAGGUGGGGAUGACGUCAAGUCAUCAUGGCCCUUACGGCCAGGGCUACACACGUGCUACAAUGGCGCAUACAAAGAGAAGCGACCUCGCGAGAGCAAGCGGACCUCAUAAAGUGCGUCGUAGUCCGGAUUGGAGUCUGCAACUCGACUCCAUGAAGUCGGAAUCGCUAGUAAUCGUAGAUCAGAAUGCUACGGUGAAUACGUUCCCGGGCCUUGUACACACCGCCCGUCACACCAUGGGAGUGGGUUGCAAAAGAAGUAGGUAGCUUAACCUUCGGGAGGGCGCUUACCACUUUGUGAUUCAUGACUGGGGUGAAGUCGUAACAAGGUAGGCGUAGUGCU
rnacentral:rRNA from 1 species